rnacentral:rRNA from 1 species
AUUGAACGCUGGCGGCAGGCCUAACACAUGCAAGUCGAACGGUAACAGGAAACAGCUUGCUGUUUCGCUGACGAGUGGCGGACGGGUGAGUAAUGUCUGGGAAACUGCCUGAUGGAGGGGGAUAACUACUGGAAACGGUAGCUAAUACCGCAUAACGUCGCAAGACCAAAGUGGGGGACCUUCGGGCCUCAUGCCAUCAGAUGUGCCCAGAUGGGAUUAGCUAGUAGGUGGGGUAACGGCUCACCUAGGCGACGAUCCCUAGCUGGUCUGAGAGGAUGACCAGCCACACUGGAACUGAGACACGGUCCAGACUCCUACGGGAGGCAGCAGUGGGGAAUAUUGCACAAUGGGCGCAAGCCUGAUGCAGCCAUGCCGCGUGUGAAGAAGGCCUUCGGGUUGUAAAGCACUUUCAGCGGGGAGGAAGGCGUUAAGGUUAAUAACCUUGGCGAUUGACGUUACCCGCAGAAGAAGCACCGGCUAACUCCGUGCCAGCAGCCGCAGUAA